CCUACGGGUGGCAGCAGUAGGGAAUAUUGCUCAAUGGGGGAAACCCUGAAGCAGCAAUGCCGCGUGGAGGAUGAAGGUCUUCGGAUUGUAAACUUCUUUUGUUAGAGAAGAUAAUGACGGUAUCUUACGAAUAAGCACCGGCUAACUCCGUGCCAGCAGCCGCGGUAAUACGGAGGGUGCAAGCGUUAUUCGGAAUCACUGGGCGUAAAGAGCGCGUAGGCGGGAUAGUAAGUCAGAUGUGAAAUCCUAUGGCUUAACCAUAGAACUGCAUUUGGAACUGUUUAUCUAGAGUAUGGGAGAGGUAGGUGGAAUACUUGGUGUAGGGGUGAAAUGCGUAGAGAUCAAGAAGAAUACUCAUUGCGAAGGCGGCCUGCUAGAACAUAACUGACGCUGAUGCGCGAAAGUGUGGGGAUCAAACAGGAUUAGAUACCCUAGUAGUC
rnacentral:rRNA from 1 species